AGAGGCCAGAGAGCGGCCCCCAGGAGAGCCCUGGAAACGCGCCCCGGAGGAGGAAUCAGCAUGGAUGUAUCAUGAAUGUACCAUGUGUGAAAACACAUUGGGAACAGACUGGGCAAUACUCUGAUCAUCAUGACUGGUACAGAAACACAGCACGGAAACUGUUGCACACAAGUAAUGCGUAGUUGCAUGUUUGGCUUUCCUACAACCUAGGCUGUAAAAAAAAAAGGAAGCACUGCUUGUAAUGAAUUGCAGACAGAGGCAAACUUUGAACAGCAUGAAGCAUUUGUUAACAGCAUUAGUUUCCAAACAGCUCUAUUCUGCUGCUCUAUUAGCUUCUCAAGCCAGCACCUGCUCUGGACUGGACCGUCUGAGAUUCAAAUAUUUGACAGGAGAGCCUGAAAGUGCAUUCAUAGUCAAUUUUGUGCAUAUGUAGAGAUCCAUCUGU